rnacentral:rRNA from 1 species
GACGAACGCUGGCGGCGUGCUUAACACAUGCAAGUCGAACGAAGUGGCGAACGGGUGAGUAACGCGUAAUCAACCUGCCCUUCAGAGGGGGACAACAGUUGGAAACGACUGCUAAUCCCGCAUACUGAAGGAGGGGAUUGCGUCUGAUUGGCUAGGUGGGGGGGUAACGGCCCACCAAGGCGAUGAUCAGUAGCCGGUCUGGGUGGAAGAAUGGCCACAAUGGGACUGGGAAACGGCCCAGGAUGCUACGGGAGGCAGCAGGGGGGAAUCUUCCGAAAUGGGCGAAAGUCUGACGGAGCAACGCCGCGUGAGUGAUGACGGCCUUCGGGUUGUAAAGCUCUGUUAAUCGGGACGCGGUACCGGAAUAGAAAGCCACGGCUAACUACGUGCCAGCAGCCGCGGUAAUUC